UACGUAGGGUGCGAGCGUUGUCCGGAAUUAUUGGGCGUAAAGAGCUCGUAGGCGGUGUGUCACGUCGGCCGUGAAAACCUGCAGCUUAACUGUGGGCGUGCGGUCGAUACGGGCAUCACUGGAGUUCGGCAGGGGAGACUGGAAUUCCUGGUGUAGCGGUGAAAUGCGCAGAUAUCAGGAGGAACACCGGUGUCGAAGGCGGGUCUCUGGGCCGAUACUGACGCUGAGGAGCGAAAGCAUGGGGAGCGAACAGG
rnacentral:rRNA from 1 species